rnacentral:rRNA from 1 species
CGCGUAGGUGGUUUGAUAAGCGAGGUGUGAAAGCCCCGGGCUUAACCUGGGAACGGCAUUUCGAACUGUCAGGCUAGAGUGUGGUAGAGGGUAGUGGAAUUUCCUGUGUAGCGGUGAAAUGCGUAGAUAUAGGAAGGAACACCAGUGGCGAAGGCGACUACCUGGACCAACACUGACACUGAGGUGCGAAAGCGUGGGGAGCAAACA